AAUAUAUAACCUCAACCACAAUUCUAUUUAUAUUUUAAAUGAAUUUGAUUUAUGUUUUUUUUUUAUUAUUGUAGAAUCAGAGGAGCUUUAUUUGAAAACUAUUUUUUAUUCCACCAGCCUCCAGUUUUCCAGGUUUUCUGACAUCAAAAAGAUCAUUCAAGGUAGUAUAGGAGAAAUGUAAUGUAUAUCUGCUCACAAUGAUUAACCGUUAACAAUGAAAAACCAAUUCUUAGUGAAGUUUAGUUAACAGUGUACUUUUUCAACAAUAUUUAUGUCAUAUGGUAAAAUAUUAACAUAUGCAU